CGUGCAGUGUGCGGUGUUUCAAGAGAUUGCGUGAGAAUUUUCUGACCGUUUUCCAGACAGAAUUGCAUUUAUUGCGCGCCGUGAAACCUGCAGAUAACCCCCCCCACAAAAAUGUUCCGCAUGGAGUUGCCCCCGAACGAUGCCGCCGAGGAGAAGCGCAAGGUCCGGAAAGCGGUCCAGUCCAAUCUGUUCGCCUUUGUUGCACUGUGCGUCGCCAUCCGGAUCGCUCCUCUGCUGUUGAACCGACCCAGCACGGUGUAGGAAACCAGAUAGCGUUAAUUGGGAGGACAUUCGUGGAAUAAACGGCUUUAAAAUUUAA